AUGGCCAUUUCUUCUCCAAAUGGAGAGGAUCUGAACUCAUGUUGGGUGGGUCGCUCAAAGUUCAAGAUCACGAAAUUGGUAUGCUCAAUCUAUGACGAUAAUCCCUUCCGUUUGCUACGGCUUUUUUCUUUCCUUUGAAUUCUGCAGCUCUGAGGAAAGAUCAUCGGGCUGUAGAGGAGAGUGGCAGAAACUAUUUAUAGUUUUUGGGGUCCAGUCACAUCCACCAAAGAGUGUUGUGAAGAAAAUUAUGUACAUUCGACAUACAUUGCAGAACUUUAUAACACUAUAUCCAGCAUUCCCACAAUUAUUUUGGCUCUGAUUGGUCUUAUAAAUGCUUUAAGACAGCGAUUUGAGAAAAAGGUUCAGUAUCCUUCAUCUAUCAAACAUGACACUUCCCAUUGGGAGCAUGUUGUACCACGCCACACUGCAACGAGUCACAAUCCUUGUAUUACCACUCCUGGUCAUGUAGCAGCACCACACGGAAGGUUUCCUGGACAUGGCCACUCUCCAACAAUUCCAUCAAAUGGUGCACCCUAUUCCGUUAGUACAGUAGCUACGAUUCAUCCUACUGCAGCUUUCGCUGCUGAUGCAUAUGGCGUUUCUGGUGUUCCUGAACGUCCUAAGAAGGCACCAGUCCCUAACUGGCUUAGAGAGGAAAUAAAGAAAAAGGUCAUUGUGGCUCCUUCAGUAGAUCAUCCAAAAGUUGAACAAACACUUGUGCGUGAUGGCAUUGAUAAAUCAUAUGUGAAGGCUGAUGAUGAGACAGAUAGUAGAAGUAUUGAUUCGUCUAGAUCAGCUGAGGAUGAAGAGGACUAAGAGGUCGAAGUUGAUAGAACUGCAGAAAUCAACCAAGAAAUAAGAAAAAUUCUUACUGACCUUCUUUUGAAGGUAAGCAUUGUUUGAAAUAUAAACCUCUGUCUUAUUUAACACCUUUUUUAUUUUGGUGGAAAAAAACUCGUUAAAUAAGACGCAACACAACAAUUCAUGAUUAACAUCUGUAUACUGUCUGUAGCAGAAAAAGAUAUAUUACAGUUCUAAUUUUAUAGCCUCUUCCUCAAGUUACUGAUGAGUUGUUUGAUGAGAUUGCAACCAAAGUUCUUGGUGAAGACAAUUUGCCUGCUGAAGUAUUAGGUCAUAAUGUUGCCACUUCAAACUAUAAUGCAUCAACCUCUCCACCCUCUGCUCCGGUUGCUAAGGCAACUGCUAAAGUUUUAGUUACAGUUAAAGCAAAGGAAAUAGAGAAUGAUGGUGCCAAUGAAAAAUCUAAUUCAAGCUCUCAUGGAGAUGUUUUAGGUUCUGGAAAUUAUGGUUCUGAGGCCGAUGAUGAAAUUGAUAGUUCCACUGUGCCUGCUCCUGCAAAAGAUGCUGCGUAUAUGGUGAAUAAUAUAGUUAAAACCAACUCAUCGCUAUCCAGAAAUAGCAAUGGCGAUGCUAUUGAUCAAUUACAUGAUGCUAAGAUGACCGAAGAAUCUGAUCAUUCAGAUUCCAAGAUAGUUUAUAAAUAAUGGGCUUGAUGCAAUUGAAGAAGCCACACAAGAUUUAAUGGUUACAGCUCGAAAGACAUGUCAGGGGUGCCAAGAUUUGAAUUGCCUGGAAAAAAUGGUUUGGAAAAAGCAACAGAAGAUCAUCUAGGAAAGGAAAGCAGAAGAAAAUCAGAAAAAAAUGACCGACAUGACAAGAAUUCUUCCGAGACGGAUUUAAGGAGGUAAAUAGUAGUCACAAGUCCAAGACAGAUGAAAAAUGUUACGAGAUCAAACGAAGAAAGGAUGAAAGAAAUCAGAAAAAGGAACAAACAGAUUACAUCAUUGAGUCAAAUGAUAGAUCGAAAGGGCACAAUGUAAAGCAUGGGGAGAAGUCAAAGGAAUCAGAAUCAAGGAAAAGGUCCUCCCAUGUUGAUGUCAAGGAUGAUAGGAAGGGAGGAGAAAAACCUCAGAGGUCGUACCACUGAAGAUACUAUCCGAAAAAAGGAGCAUUCAAAGGAUAAGGGGGAGCAUAAAUCUAGGCGAAGAGAAGCUAGUGACCAUGACAGGCACAAAAGAAGGCGUUCUUCGUCAGUAAGCAGUAGAGGUAGAACCAGCAAGGAUCAUAGUCAUGCCAAUGAAUUAAGUGGUGAAGGCUCAGAUGGCUCGAAAAGGAUGCUGCGUUCAAGAAAACGUGACUUGUCACCAUCUCCGGUUAGGUCUAAAAGAAGGGUUGCCGUGGUUCUGGAGAGACUGAUUUUAGUGCAGUACCGCUGAGUGCUCCAAAAUGGUAUAAACGUCCUGCUGGUGUGUCUUUUGGCUUUGGAGGUAAACUUGUGUCAUUUCGUCCUAGUGCUUCAGGUUCUCCUGCUGGGGCUUCAAAGGAAAGAUUUUAGUACUUUGAGUAUAUUUCUUUGUCCAUGUUCUGUAACCUUUCAGUUGAACUCAUCUUAUUUAUAAUUUUCCAGGUUUAUGUGCAUAACAUGGUCACUGAAGACGAUCUGGUGAGUCGUUCAUCUGAAUUUGAAGCUGCAAUACAUAAUGGGGAAAAAACUUUAUUAAGGGUGUUAUGAGAUAAAAAGACUCAGGAGUCAGGAUCUGAGGAGGAAAGGGAAACAUGGGCCUUUUUGAAGGUUAUGUUUGAAGAUGAUGGAACUUCAAGAACAAAACUUCUCACACACCUUGGUUUUAACGCACCAAGUGAAACAAAAGACACGGUUAGUGAUGAUCUUUCUCAGGAAGUCAAUUCCAUUGGACUUGAGGACACAACUGUUAAUAACGUAGGGCAUGUGGCUACUAAUGAUAUCCACCGUAUCAGACUUCUUAGUGAGAUGGUCCUUGUAACCUUGACCAAUCACCCAUAAUUUGAUAUCAACGGCCCAACUAUCGUAAUUGGAACCAUUCAGUUUUUCUGUAGAGAGAGGCGAUGUAACAUAGUUGGUAUAAAUACUCUUGGACGCAUCAGAAGUGUUGGUAGCAGCACUUCGGUAUAAAUAUGGACUGUUUGUGAAAGAACACGUAUUUCGAUCGAAACUGAAAACUAAGAGCAGAUAUAGAACCAGCACAGAGAGGUGAGUCGGGCGCUGAAAAUGGAAACUGAAUGGCGGCCGAACGCCGUCACUCGCGGGUUGGACGGCGGCACGUGGAGAAGAUCGCCGGAGAUGAUGGUGUCACACGAGAGCACGUGUGAGGUCUUUUUCGGUAUAGGGCAGAUCGGAGGUUGCGAUUCAGAUGGUGGGGUUAGUUGCUGGAAACGUUACCGGAAUAGGAAACAUGCCGGAAUAAGUCACACCAGCAGAUAAAAGAAAAUUGGAGUUAACACAGUUUGUCGAAAAAAAAUAUCACCGGAGGACAGUGGGUCCAUCGCGUAAGCACGGUGUAGGGUUGCUCUCCUUUCUCUCACUGCCACCUGUCCUUUUCAGCCCAUGUGAGUUAGUGGUGAUAGUUACGGAAUAAUUCUCUGUGGUCCCAUCUUUCUUUUUUCUCUUGUACACCUAUCAAACCUUUCAAACCUAUCAUAUAGCUCUUUAUGAAGAAUUACCACUUUGUCCUCCAUUACUCUUAUUUCCAUUUUCCAUCUUGCUUACUAGUCUUUAUUAUAUUUCUUAAAUAAAUUCUCAACUUACUAGUCUCCAUAAUAUAUGAAACAAAGCAUAUAUUAUUACGUUAUACGUGAUUAUAAUUUUGGGGAUGUUACAAUCUACCCCCUUAAAAGAAUUUCGUUCUUGAAAUUCAAGGCUUUCCAUCUUAUCAUCGGGAUAAUUGCCUAUACUCACGUCUAAAUUCAUCGACUUCACUUCGUUACCUGUCAUGGUUUGUCGUUCAAGGGUUAUUAAUCCUGACUCUUUACUGCAUUAGCAGUCUUAAUGCAACCAUCAGACUCCCUACAUAUCCCUUUCAAGAUAUCGAACUUUCAACUUUGGUCCAUCAUUAUACCUCGUUGAUACGCGCUCGUCUUUUAAUAGUCUUAUGCGUUACUUCGUCUUAUUCCAAUCUCUUAAGGUACUUCAAUUCCUCAUAUCCAAUUCUUCGAAUCAUACCAAAACGCGCGUAUUAAACAUCUCUGUCGAAUCAUACCUAGCAAAAUCUUUGCUCUUCUACUUUUCUCUUCAUAAGCCUAACGGGUCCUCUUCCUCGGGUUGUCCACGGGUUAAAAUGUGUACAAAUGCGUACAUUACUCGCCAUAUGUUCGUUUAGACAUCUUACGGUCAUCCACGUCCAAUCCCUUGGAAUAAACCUUUUCUCUCUCAAAUAGUUGUAACCUUUCAGUUGAACUCAUCUUAUUUAUAAUUUUCCAGGUUUAUGUGCAUAACAUGGUCACUGAAGACGAUCUGGUGAGUCGUUCAUCUGAAUUUGAAGCUGCAAUACAUAAUGGGGAAAAAACUUUAUUAAGGGUGUUAUGAGAUAAAAAGACUCAGGAGUCAGGGUAAGUUCUAUCCACGAAGCGCAAUAUUGUUUUGUGCUGUUUGCGUUUGAUUGUCAGUCUAACAAUUAGGCUAUGGCUCUUUUUAUUGUUAUGGAAGAUCUGAGGAGGAAAGGGAAACAUGGGCCUUUUUGAAGGUUGUUUGAAGAUGAUGGAACUUCAAGAACAAAACUUCUCACACACCUUGGUUUUAACGCACCAAGUGAAACAAAAGACACGGUUAGUGAUGAUCUUUCUCAGGAAGUCAAUUCCAUUGGACUUGAGGACACAACUGUUAAUAACA